CCCUUAGACGUUCUGGGCCGCACGCGCGCUACACUGACCAGUGCAACAAGCAUCCGUCCUUGGCCGACAUGCUCGGGCAAUCUUUGAACGCUGGUCGUGAUGGGGAUAGACUUUUGCAAUUUUUGGUCUUCAACGAGGAAUUCCUAGUAAACGCAAGUCAUCAACUUGCAUUGAUUACGUCCCUGCCCUUUGUACACACCGCCCGUCGCACCUACCGAUUGAAUGGUCCGGUGAAGCCUCCGGAUUGGCGCGCACCUCGGUGCCGCCGAGAAGUUGGCUAAACCUUACCAUUUAGAGGAAGGUGAAGUCGUAACA
rnacentral:rRNA from 1 species